AUAAAUUCUGUGAAAAGGAUAGUAGAGUAUAUUGUUUUGUCAAAGCGAAUUGGGGAUGGUGAAAGCCCAGUACAAAGAUAUAUUUGAAGAGAGCCUUGGAGAAUAACAUCUGAAAAAUAGUAGGAUGGUACGCAACUGCGUUAAAAGUCAUGAGUGGGCAAAUUGCCAACUAGAGUGGUAACACGGGAUAUACUCUCGUCUCUUUA
rnacentral:ncRNA from 1 species